rnacentral:rRNA from 1 species
UACGAAGGGGGCUAGCGUUGCUCGGAAUCACUGGGCGUAAAGCGCACGUAGGCGGAUUGCUAAGUCAGGGGUGAAAUCCUGGAGCUCAACUCCAGAACUGCCUUUGAUACUGGCGAUCUCGAGUCCGGGAGAGGUGAGUGGAACUGCGAGUGUAGAGGUGAAAUUCGUAGAUAUUCGCAAGAACACCAGUGGCGAAGGCGGCUCACUGGCCCGGUACUGACGCUGAGGUGGCGAAAGCGUGGGGAGCAAACAGG